rnacentral:rRNA from 1 species
AUUGAACGCUGGCGGCAGGCCUAACACAUGCAAGUCGAGCGAGAGGCGGACGGGUGCGUAAUGUCUGGGAAACUGCCCGAUGGAGGGGGAUAACUACUGGAAACGGUAGCUAAUACCGCAUACCAUCGGAUGUGCCCAGAUGGGAUUAGCUAGUAGGUGGGGUAAUGGCUCACCUAGGCGACGAGCCCUAGCUGGUCUGAGAGGAUGACCAGACACACUGGGACUGAGACACGGGCCAUACGCCUACGGGAGGCAGCAGUGGGGAAUAUUGAACAAUGGGCGCAAGCCUGAUGCAGCCAUGCGGCGUGUGUGAAGAAGGCCUUCGGGUUGUAAAGCACUUUCAGCGGGGAGGCGUUACCCGCAGAAGAAGCACCGGCUAACUCCGUGCCAGCAGCCGCGGUAAUAC